CUGUGGCGCUUAGCUGGUCAAAGCGCCUGUCGUGUAAACAGGAGAUCCUGGGCUCAAAUCCCAGCAG
rnacentral:tRNA from 1 species